UCACAAUGUCUCGCGAUCUCUAUUUCAAGCUCGUUGAGCCAGUCACCAUGGCGCGCCCUUGAUUCGGAAUUAUAUACCUGAUUCAUCUAGUUCUGUUCUUUAAAUGACCGUCAACCAUUUUUCCAUUUAUUUUCUUUUUUGAUAUCCUUCGUUUCGUCGGAGCAGGGGGGUCCGCCACUAUACAUUAGUUUGACCAUAUGUGAGGCAAGAGGCUUCCUGCCAUCCCUCCCGCCUCUUCUUUUCUUCUUUCUUACUAACUAAUAAUCACAAAGAGUCACUGUAUCUUUAUAUAUCACUUGAAAUGCUCAAGUUUGUGAAGAUUUUUUGAAUUCCAUUAAUGGUCA
rnacentral:lncRNA from 1 species